rnacentral:rRNA from 1 species
UGAGCAAUCUGCCCUUCUCAUCGGAAUAAGCGUUGGAAACGACGUCUAAUGCCGAAUACGACCUCCUUUCGCAUGAUCGGAGGUGGAAAGCUCCGGCGGAGAAGGAUGAGCUCGCGGCCUAUCAGCUAGUUGGUGUGGGUAAUGGCCCACCAAGGCGACGACGGGUAGCCGGCCUGGAGAGGGUCGACCGGCCACACUGGGACUGAGACACGGCCAGACUCCUACGGGAGCAG